UGUUCCAAUAAUGCUUUAGAAUCAGAAACUCUGAUUCAUACCACCUUAGAGUUCUAGAAUCAUUCGGCACAGAACCUAAGCAAGAAGGACUUACAGCUCUCUGGUGUUUCAAAUCAUUUCAAGAGUCAUCAGGAUAGAAGACUGGCAACAAAUGUGGCUGUCUUUACGGGAGCACCAUCUGAACGCAGAAGUGCAGAAUUGCCUAGUUCUUCCUAGACUGGAAGCCACACAGGCAGUGAAGAUUUAGGGUUAUCCUUGCUGUGAUGAAACACCAUGACCAGAGAAACUUGGAGAAGAAAGGAUUUAUUCAGCUUGGGUCCACAUCACUGUUCAUCACUGAAAGAAGUCAGGACAAGAACUCAAAAAGAGCAGGAAGCUGGAGGUAGGAGCUGAUGCAGAGACCAUGGAUGUGUCUGCUACAAAGCUGUGACUCCUACGAAGGGCUGGAACUGACCCAUCUCUGUAUCCUCAGAGUACAGGAGAAGCUGAGACUCUUUAUACCAGAUGGUGCAAGACACAGCAUCUUCAAUUGUGGGCAAUACAAAUUAAGCACGUGUUGGCCAAUGAAAGCCUGAUAAGGGGUUUAAAAUCCGUCUUACAUGAAAACAGAUCCAGAAGUGUUUUUCUUGAAGUGAACACUUCUGAGAAUGCACUUGCUGAUUUUGCAGACUGUUUCUGGGCAUCUUCUCUGUGCAAGGCCUGGGCUGGGGAAAAGGAAGCCAUAGGUACAGGCCUACCAUCCCGGCAGCAGAGCUCAUGGUCUGGAUGGUGUUGGACACACAAAUAAGGAUCUAUGACUCAGUGCACUCAGGUCCCCCAGGAGGCAUGAGGGUGUGCCCAGGGAAGGCUCCGAGAAGACGUUGCAGAAGAGCACAGUUGUGACAAUGUUGAAAACAAGUAUCUUUUUUAAAAGACUUAUUGUUUUUUUAGUGUAUGUAUUGGCUGGAUAUGGUGGCUUACAACUUUAAUCCCAGCAAUCAGGUGACAGAGGCAGGCCAAUUUUGUGGGUAAGAGUCCAGCCUGGUCUACAUAGCAAGCUCCAAUGCAUCCAAGGCUACAUAAUGUGACUCUGUCUCAAAACAACAACAGUAAUAAUAAAAAUGUAUGAAUA